rnacentral:rRNA from 1 species
GUGCUCUUCCGAUCUCGUAGGGUGGAUGCCUUGGCACUAAGAGCCGAUGAAAGACGUGAUAAGCUGCGAUAAGCUUCGGGGAGGAGCAAAUAUCCUUUGAUCCGGAGAUUUCUGAAUGGGGAAACCCACUUGAGUAAACCUCAAGUAUCCAUACGCCAAUCCAUAACGUAUGGAAGGGAACCCGGGGAACUGAAACAUCUAAGUACCCGGAGGAAAAGAAAGAAACAUCGAUUUCCUGAGUAGCGGCGAGCGAAAGGGAAGGAGCCUAAACUGCGGUGCGUGCACUGCAGGGUUAAGGACUGCAAUAAGUUAUACUCAGAGUUACCAGAACGGUAUUGGGAAAGCCGGCCAGAGAGGGUGAAAGCCCCGUAUGGGAAAACAAAGAGGGACAAGCAGUAUCCAAAGUACCACGAGACACGAGAAACCUUGUGGGAAGUCGGGGGGACCACCCCCCAAGGCUAAAUACUCCUUAGUGACCGAUAGCGCAUAGUACUGUGAAGGAAAGGUGAAAAGGACCCCGGGAGGGGAGUGAAAGAGAACCUGAAACCCUGUGUUUACAAGCUGUGGAAGUUCUUUAAAUGAACAACCGCGUACUUUUUGUAGAACGGUCCGGCGAGUUGCGGAUACUGGCAAGGUUAAGCACUUAAGGUGCGGAGCCGAAGGGAUACCAAGUCUUAACAGGGCGUAAAGUCAGUGUACGUAGACCCGAAACCGGGUGAUCUACCCAUGUCCAGGCUGAAGUUGCCGUAAAAGGCAAUGGAGGGCCGAACGCACAUCCGUUGAAAAGGGUGGCGAUGAGGUGUGGGUAGGGGAGAAAUUCCAAUCGAACCCGGAGAUAGCUGGUUCUCCUCGAAAUAGCUUUAGGGCUAGCCUCGGUGCAAUCUGCUGGAGGUAGGGCACUGAAUUCCCGCGGGGGCGUCAAAGCCUACCAAAGGAUAUCAAACUGCGAAUGCCAGACAGAUGGUCACCGGGAGUCAGACCACACGAGAUAAGUUGGGUGGUCAAAAGGGAAAGAGCCCAGACCUGCAGCUAAGGUCCCAAAGUGCGUGUUAAGUGGAAAAGGAUGUGGGAUCUCGAAGACAACUAGGAUGUUGGCUCAGAAGCAGCCAUACAUUCAAAGAGUGCGUAAUAGCUCACUAGUCGAGAGGUCCUGCGCCGAAAAUGUCCGGGGCUAAAACACAACACCGAAGCUGUGGAAUCACGUAAGUGAUUGGUAGAGGAGCAUUCUUAAGACCGACGAAGCUGUACCGGAAGGAGCAGUGGAGGGAUAAGAAGAGAGAAUGCCGGAAUGAGUAGCGAGAGAAAGGUGAGAAUCCUUUCGGCCGAAUAUCCAAGGUUUCCAGGGUAAAGCUGAUCUGCCCUGGGUAAGUCGGGGCCUAAGGCGAGGCAGAAAUGCGUAGUCGAUGGACAGCAGGUUGAGAUUCCUGCACCCGUAAUGAACAGAACUGUAGUGACACGGAAGGUAAGACAGAGCCGGGAAUGAGAAAACCGGUGCAAGCACAAUAGAUGUGUGGGAGGAAAAACCCCCGCAUAAGUCGAAGGUGUGACGCGGACCGAAAAAGAGUAGGGAAGCUGUUAAGCAAGCCGUCAAGAAAAGCUGCUAUUGUUUCAUUAUGGCCCGUACCGUAAACCGACACAGGUGGAUGGGGAGAGAAUCCUAAGGCCGGCGGAAGAAGUAUUGUUAAGGAACUCGGCAAAAUGACCCCGUAACUUCGGGAGAAGGGGUGCCUGCGAGAGCAGGCCGCAGAGAAGAGGCCCAAGCAACUGUUUAGCAAAAACACAGGUCUAUGCAAAACCGAAAGGUGAGGUAUAUGGGCUGACGCCUGCCCGGUGCUGGAAGGUUAAGGGGAGUGGUCAGGAAACGAAGCCACGAACUUAAGCCCCAGUAAACGGCGGCCGUAACAAUAACGGUCCUAAGGUAGCGAAAUUCCUUGUCGGGUAAGUUCCGACCCGCACGAAAGGCGUAAUGAUUUGAGCGCUGUCUCGACAAUGCACCCGGUGAAAUUGAAGUACCAGUGAAGAUGCUGGUUACCUGCGCCAGGACGGAAAGACCCCAUGGAGCUUUACUCCAGCUUGAUACUGGGACCCGGUAUUGCAUGUACAGGAUAGGUGGGAGGCUAUGAAAUGUGGACGCCAGUCUGCAUGGAGCCGCUGUUGGGAUACCACCCUUGUGGUGCUGGGUUUCUAACCAGAGGCCGUGAACCGGUCUGGGGACAAUGUCAGGUGGGGAGUUUGACUGGGGCGGUCGCCUCCGAAAGGGUAUCGGAGGCGCCCAAAGGUUCCCUCAGAAUGGUUGGAAACCAUUCGAAGAGUGCAAAGGCAGAAGGGAGCUUGACUGCGACACCGACGGGUGGAGCAGGUACGAAAGUAGGGCUUAGUGAUCCGGUGGAAUUUAAGUGGGAAUGCCAUCGCUCAACGGAUAAAAGCUACCCUGGGAUAACAGGCUGAUCACUCCCAAGAGUUCACAUCGACGGAGUGGUUUGGCACCUCGAUGUCGGCUC